rnacentral:rRNA from 1 species
AUUGAACGCUGGCGGCAUGCUUUACACAUGCAAGUCGAACGGUAACAGGUCUUCGGAUGCUGACGAGUGGCGAACGGGUGAGUAAUGCAUCGGAACGUGCCCAGUCGUGGGGGAUAACGCAGCGAAAGCUGUGCUAAUACCGCAUACGAUCUAUGGAUGAAAGCGGGGGACCGUAAGGCCUCGCGCGAUUGGAGCGGCCGAUGUCAGAUUAGCUAGUUGGGGGGGUAAAGGCCCACCAAGGCGACGAUCUGUAGCUGGUCUGAGAGGACGACCAGCCACAUUGGGACUGAGACACGGCCCAGACUCCUACGGGAGGCAGCAGUGGGGAAUUUUGGACAAUGGGCGCUAGCCUGAUCCAGCAAUGCCGCGUGCAGGAAGAAGGCCUUCGGGUUGUAAACUGCUUUUGUACGGAACGAAACGGUCUGGGUUAAUACCCUGGGCUAAUGACGGUACCGUAAGAAUAAGCACCGGCUAACUACGUGCCAGCAGCCGCGGUAA